rnacentral:lncRNA from 1 species
GCAAUCUGCUGAGGAGCCAAGGGCAGGGCUGGCAGCCUGGCACAGUGCUGUGUGAGCAUUAGGAACAGAGACUCUGUCAACAAGUGGUGCCAUGGGGAGAGAAGCAGCCAUGCAGGGCUGUAAGGACAGUGCAGGGACGCCUCCAGGUGUGCAGGUGGGUGCUGCAGCUGCACCCUCUGCUGUGAGCAGACAGGUGUGAGUGUAGGAGGCAGCCUUUCCCGAUGGAUUACAGCUGGACUGAUUGUGGAGGAGCAGGAACAGCCUUGCUGCCCAGCGAGGAGGGGGGCUAUAAAAGAGUGGGCUAGUUCUUGACAGUAACUUGCAGAUGGAGUUGGAGGUUGAGACUCAGAGCCUGCUGCAGUUUGGGAUGGAGGCUGCUGGCUGUGCUGUGAGGAGCAAGGGACAGACAAGAGCCAGGAAAGCUGGUGAAGUGUCAGCAGAUCAUGCCCAGCAGUUGGUGGAAGGAGCACAGAGAUGCUGAGCUGAAGGCUGCUUUGCAAGUUGAGUGCACUUGUAUGUUCUGGAAGAGAUAUGUGCAAUACAAAGGGAAUCUGGAUCUCAAAUAAGCUAAAGUUUACAGAAGUGUCUUCAACUCUCUGGAGGAGCAGUGCUGAAACCUGAGAAACAGAGAGCACAGAUUAUUGAAGUGCAUAGACUGUGGAAAAACACAGCGCAGCAAUUUUUAUUUAAUUGCACAAUAUAAAAUUGACCCCUCUGUACCUGGGUUUUCUGUUCUUUACAAAUCCUCUCCUUCCACUUUAAACACUGCUAUCCAGCUGAGCCAGUGGCUCAGUUUGGGAGUGAAUAUUGUGAGUACCAUGGGACUCACUCUGCUCCAUAUAUUGUUGCUAUAAAGCUUUAAAUGGUGAAUCAUUGCAAUGAUAAAGAAUGUAAAAAGCCAUAUAAUAAGCACAGCUUUCAGUUAUUUACCAUACUACUAAAAGUAUUUUUAAAUGUCACUGGAACCAGCUAUAAAAAACUUUGUGGUACUCAUUUAAUGGUGAGAUAAAAUCAGUAAUAUAUAUUUUGGGUCGUAGAGAGAGAGAACUGAAGAGGGACAGAUUUUGUACAGGAUAUUUUUUAAUGGCUGCUGGUCUUGGACUUGUAAACCUUGUACUGAAUUAUGAAAAUCAGGGCUGCAGCACAGUGUUAACGUUCACAUUUUUUAAUGUGGAAAAGGCAGUUAUAGGAGACACUGUGUGGCUGUGAAUAAGGAGUUACACUCACUGCAAAAGAAACCUGCUCUUGUUGCAACUAGAAAAAUACAAUCUUCAAAGUCCCAGCUCGUUCCCGGCCUUGGUGAUCUCUACUUGCAUCAGAGAGAGGUGGUUUCUGUGGGGUGAGACAAAGCUCCUUUUGUCUGAAGUGGCAAUGGC